rnacentral:rRNA from 1 species
ACUCCUACGGGAGGCAGCAGCUAAGAAUAUUCCGCAAUGGACGGAAGUCUGACGGAGCGACGCCGCGUGGAUGAAGAAGGCCGAAAGGUUGUAAAGUUCCUUUGCUAGGGGAGAAUAAGUGUGGGAGGGAAUGCCUGCACGAUGACAAGGACUAGCGAAUAAGUCCCGGCCAACUACGUGCCAGCAGCCGCGGUAACACGUAGGGGGCGAGCGUUGUUCGGAAUUACUGGGCGUAAAGGGUAUGUAGGCGGCUUGGUAAGCCUGGCGUGAAAGUCUGCAGCUUAACUGUAGGGAUGCGUUGGGAACUGCUUAGCUUGAGUUACGGAGAGGGAGCUGGAAUUCCUGGUGUAGGGGUGAAAUCUGUAGAUAUCAGGAAGAACACCGAUGGCGAAGGCAAGCUUCUGGCCGACAACUGACGCUGAGGUGCGAAAGUGUGGGGAUCAAACAGGAUUAGAUACCCUGGUAGUC